UGAACGCUGGCGGCAUGCCUUACACAUGCAAGUCGAACGGCAGCACGGGUGCUUGCACCUGGUGGCGAGUGGCGAACGGGUGAGUAAUACAUCGGAACAUGUCCUGUAGUGGGGGAUAGCCCGGCGAAAGCCGGAUUAAUACCGCAUACGAUCUACGGAUGAAAGCGGGGGACCUUCGGGCCUCGCGCUAUAGGGUUGGCCGAUGGCUGAUUAGCUAGUUGGUGGGGUAAAGGCCUACCAAGGCGACGAUCAGUAGCUGGUCUGAGAGGACGACCAGCCACACUGGGACUGAGACGCGGCCCAGACUCCUACGGGAGGCAGCAGUGGGGAAUUUUGGACAAUGGGCGAAAGCCUGAUCCAGCAAUGCCGCGUGUGUGAAGAAGGCCUUCGGGUUGUAAAGCACUUUUGUCCGGAAAGAAAUCCUUGGCUCUAAUACAGUCGGGGGAUGACGGUACCGGAAGAAUAAGCACCGGCUAACUACGUGCCAGCAGCCGCGGUAAUACGUAGGGUGCGAGCGUUAAUCGGAAUUACUGGGCGUAAAGCGUGCGCAGGCGGUUUGCUAAAGACCGAUGUGAAAUCCCCGGGCUCAACCUGGGAACUGCAUUGGUGACUGGCAGGCUAGAGUAUGGCAGAGGGGGGUAGAAUUCCACGUGUAGCAGUGAAAUGCGUAGAGAUGUGGAGGAAUACCGAUGGCGAAGGCAGCCCCCUGGGCCAAUACUGACGCUCAUGCACGAAAGCGUGGGGAGCAAACAGGAUUAGAUACCCUGGUAGUCCACGCCCUAAACGAUGUCAACUAGUUGUUGGGGAUUCAUUUCCUUAGUAACGUAGCUAACGCGUGAAGUUGACCGCCUGGGGAGUACGGUCGCAAGAUUAAAACUCAAAGGAAUUGACGGGGACCCGCACAAGCGGUGGAUGAUGUGGAUUAAUUCGAUGCAACGCGAAAAACCUUACCUACCCUUGACAUGGUCGGAAUCCUGCUGAGAGGUGGGAGUGCUCGAAAGAGAACCGGCGCACAGGUGCUGCAUGGCUGUCGUCAGCUCGUGUCGUGAGAUGUUGGGUUAAGUCCCGCAACGAGCGCAACCCUUGUCCUUAGUUGCUACGCAAGAGCACUCUAAGGAGACUGCCGGUGACAAACCGGAGGAAGGUGGGGAUGACGUCAAGUCCUCAUGGCCCUUAUGGGUAGGGCUUCACACGUCAUACAAUGGUCGGAACAGAGGGUUGCCAACCCGCGAGGGGGAGCUAAUCCCAGAAAACCGAUCGUAGUCCGGAUUGCACUCUGCAACUCGAGUGCAUGAAGCUGGAAUCGCUAGUAAUCGCGGAUCAGCAUGCCGCGGUGAAUACGUUCCCGGGUCUUGUACACACC
rnacentral:rRNA from 1 species